CCUACGGGAGGCAGCAGUAGGGAAUUUUCGGCAAUGGGGGGAAACCCUGACCGAGCAACGCCGCGUGAGCGAAGAAGGCCUUCGGGUCGUAAAGCUCUGUUGUAAAGGAAGAACGGCGCAUACAGGAAAUGGUAUGCGAGUGACGGUACUUUACCAGAAAGCCACGGCUAACUACGUGCC
rnacentral:rRNA from 1 species